CAUUGUUAGUAGACCUGAUUUACAAGAAAUACUAAAGAAAGUUCUUCAGGCUGAAAACAAGUGACCCCAGUAAAGGUACGGGAAGAUUACAGAAGAUGGAUUACCAGGAAGACCACACCCGGAUCCCAGUCCCAGACAUCAGGGGUCAUACUGACAUCCUUUGCCUUCACUUCCAAAACGGGUUAAAGCUCUUUCUUGCUUUCAAAUACGCUAUGAAGCAACAUUUGAGGACAGCAGGUGCCGGCAGGAGCUGACGCUGAAAUCUUCUCUUCAUGGCUUAAUGUGGAAUUGCAGAUCUCACCAGCCCCAGGACUCUCUGGGUGAUUCAGAGCACUGAUGGGUGGGGCGCUCUUCCCACGUUCCAUGCGCUGGUGAGAAACAAGACUUUCUGUUCCAGAUUACCAUUUUAUCUUCUAUGUUCUGCAACCCUUUGAAUUUCCAGAGUUUUGAGGAAAUAACAGAUCCUAGUGCAAUGGCAUGACCAAGAACAUCUGGCUACCGUUUUGUUUUCUCCUAAGUUCUUUGGCGUGUGGCUGCAAGCCUGCCUCUCCAGCACCUGUCACAGAGUAUGGAAACGGCUUCAGGAAA